rnacentral:lncRNA from 1 species
AGUUUAUCCCAUUACUUUUGAUUUUCUGUUCAUUACCAUAAACAGUUUUGGCCUGGUCCUGUCAGACUUCUUUUCCUUCCUUCCUUCCUUCCUUCCUUCCUUCCUUCCUUCCUUCCUUCCUUCCUUCCUUCCUUCCUUCCUUCCUUCCUUCCUUCCUUCCUUCCUUCCUUCCUUCCUUCCUUCCUUCCUUUUUCUUUCUUUCUUUCUCUUCCUUCCUUUCUUUCUCUUCAUUUCUUCCUUCCUUCCUUCUCUUUUUCUUUCUUUCUUUCUUUCCUUCCUUUCUUUCUUUCUUUCUUUCUUUCUUUCUUUCUUUCUUUCUUUCUUUCUUUCUUUCUUUCUUUCUUUCUUUCUUUCUUUCUUUCUUUCUUUCUUUCUUUCUUUCUUUCUUUCUUUCUUUCUUUCUUUCUUUCCCUUACUUUCUUUCCCUUACUUCUGUCUCAGUAACAACUCUAAGGCAGAAGGACAAGGGCUAGGCUAGUAUAGAUAAAUGACUUACUCAAGGUCACAAAGCUCAUAGAGUUGUUUCAACUUGGAAACAGGAAACUUGACUGAUCCAUCUAAUUACCAAAGUAACCAACCUUUGGUUCAACUCUGGGGAGAGCAAGUGCUCCCAAGUCUCCUUGUAACUCCACUACAGGUAUUUCAGAUAUAGUUUUAGAGUUCCCAGAGUAGUUUUUUCUUCUCACAGACAUUAUCUGUACAUUUAAUAUGCACAGUAGAGCAGGGAUGAUUCCUAUUAUUAUUUCUUAAACCCCUAUUUUCUGUCUUAGUAACAAUUCUAAGGCAGAAGGGCAAGGACUAGGCAUUUGGAAUUGUGACUUGCCCAGGAUCCCACAGCUAGGAAGUGACAGGUCAAAUUUGAAUCUAGCUCCUCCUGACUCCAGGCCUGGCUCUAUAUCCACUGUGCCCCCUAGUGGUCCCCUGAUUCCUGGUUUUUUUGGUUGGUGGUGGGGUUUUUUUGUUUUUUGUUUUUUUUUUAAACAAGAGAAAAGUGAUACUCAAAGAGCUCAAAUGAAAUGCCCAAAGUAAAACAACUAGGAAUGAUGCAGACAGAGAAAAGCUAUCAGGCCAGUUUCACUCAAAUAUGAAGGAGAGUUACAUGAAAUAAGGCUGGAAAAGUAGCUGGGAGUCAGAUCAUAGAGGACUUUAAUUGCCAGGGACAGAAUUUUGUAUUUUAUAUUAAAAGCAACAAGGAGGUCUUGGCCUUUCAAUAUGUAUGUGAAUAAGAAAGGGAUUAGAGGUGGAUGGGAGUGAGGAAGAAUGAUAUCUGUGUUUUCAGAAUAUCACUUUUGGGGCAGCUAGGUAGGUAAUGGGAUUUCCCAGUAAAUAGAACUCUAGACUUGGAGAAUGGAAGACCAACUUCAGAUGCUUACUAACUAUGUUUCCUUAGGCAAGUCACUGAACCAUCAUACCUCAGUUUCCUCUUCUAUAAAAUGAGAAGGUUGGCCUCUAAAUCUAUGAUCCUACAAAUAGAUACA